AGUUAAAGACCAGUGAGAGAGUUUGUUCCUGCUUGCCCUUCCUGCCUUCCAUUGGUUUGCUCUAACUAGCUGUAAGGAAAUCCUUGACUGAGCCCUCAGCUCACUGAGGACUUUAACAUAAAGUAUCAAGCUAAGGCAUCCUCUAUUUUUGAAGAAUCAAGUAAUGGGUGUAGAGCAUGGGUAUUUCCUGUUGCUCUGUUGACAAGGAGUCUGAGCAGUUAAAGGAAACUGCAAAAACAGAAUCACAUGAAUAAAAAUCAAACCAAACACAUGGAUGACACGUGACAUAGUGACCAUGGGCUACUUUGGCUCUUGUGACUUCUCUGGAUAGAGAGUGAAUACAGGAAAGAGAGAUUAAUGUCUGGGGAUAGUGAUCCAGAUGUGCUUCCUCUUAGAGAGCCAAAGACUCACCCCUUUUCUGCUUUCUCUCCAGGGUUUCCAUAGCCAGACCAAGGUUCAAAUUGGUUUCCAGCUCACUGUGCAUGGUCAGAGCUUGGAGGAUGCUGGAGGGCUGCCACACUGUCUGCUGCACAGAUAUGCUCUCCUCUGCCUCCUUUCUGCCCACUCCCAUGUGCCUAAAACACUCACAUACAUUUUCCUUCUCCAAAUCUGAAUAUAAAUGACUUUGAGAUCUUGCUGUAUUCCCGAGGCAGAAGUUUUUGAAAAAAAAAAAAAUCAAAUUGGCUCAUAAGAACAGAAAACUGAGUGAAAAAUGAAGUUUCAUAGAACUCAAUUGGUGAUUAAAUUUUCACUUUCCCCUUUGCUUUUUUCCACUGUAUAUUAAAUAAAAUACUUCUUAUUGUCUAGGGAAUUGUAUUCUGGCUAGUGGCAUCAUCAUAUAUGAGCCCAGUUUGAAUAUUAAUGAUAUGACUAUAUAACAACACCACGUUAUAAACAUUUAUUUAAAAAGGGCAUUAUGUAUUUUUAUGCAUGUUAUCUCAUAUAAUCCUUAAAACAAAGCAAUAUGUUAAUAGUCUUCUUCACAGUCUUAGGGAUGAAGAAACUGAGGUUCAGAGAGAUGAUGCUGUCCAGCACUCCAAAAAGACUUAGACUUCUUUGACCACAACCAUGUUCUUCCCAAUCUCAUUUGCAGGCCACACUGACUGCAUUGUAGAAGAAAAUUAACCCUAAGUCAGGAAGAUUUGGGCAGCUGAUCAGAGCUGAAUUUGAUGCUAAAGGCUGUCUGGAAGACAGAGGGAGAUUACUAUCAUCUGUGGUCUUACUCUGUCCUCAGCCUGAUACUUCUUCUUUUCAGAUGCUGUUCCCUCUUCAUACAUGAACAGUAAGAGUGUAGUAGUUUUCCAUAAUGUGUGGUAACUGGUUAUCACUAAUCACUGCAUGCAGCCCUGUUUCCUCCCAGGGCUCCUUUUUGGAUGCUGAUAAAUCUUUCUAAUUAGCUGUAAAACUCACAAAAAUGAGAUGUCAUAUUUUAAUCGUAAGAGUCUUGGGCCACUGGCAUUUUGUUGAAUUCUAGUUGAAUUCUUACUUUUGUUUACCAAAUUGGCUGGAGGUUAUAACAUUUUUAGUAGAACUCUUGUAAAUCCACAGACCUUGGAUUUACAAAGGCUAUGGAUUAUUUUCAGUAAUACUAUUACAGAAAUGCCAAAAGAGUGUGUGGGGGCACUGACAUAGUGUGAAUGGUUGAUUUUCCCAUGUGUUGGUGGAAUAGUAGAAGAUUUUUGAGAUCUUUUCAGGUUAAUUCAAUGCAGACCCACUUCUAACAAUAUAAUCCAGCAUCCUGAACAGUGAGGGAGAAAUGGCCUUACUUUCUGUUUUGUUCUUGGAAGUUAGAGUGAACUCCCACAAAAGUUGCAGAGAAGAAUCAGGAUUAGAAGUUCCACUGAAGAAUACAGAAAGUCAAAACUGGAGGAAGUGUCUGACCCUAGGACUCAGGUGAGAUCACCAUUUUCUAUCCCACGACUCUCUAAGGCGGGUCCACUCAGGAGUACACAGACCACAGACGUGACAGAGCAUCUGGGAAGGGUCCUAUGGGCCUACAUCUGCACCCAGGAGGUGGGGCUGUUCCACAGCCCUCUGUGCACUGGUCUUGCCAGGAGGGAGCUGGUCUCCCAGGAGUGCUGACACAGGUUUACAAACUCACAGGAGGAACACGCUCCAGCUAGAGACAGCAAGAACAUCUGACACCAGAGAUUACCAGAUGGUGAAAGGCAAAUGCAAGAAUCUUAUCAACAGAGACCAAGACUACUUGGCAUCAUCAGAACCCAAUACUCCCACCACAGCGAGUCCUGGAUACCCCAACAUACAGGAAAAGCAAGAUUUGGAUUUAAAAUCAUAUCUUAUUAUGCUGGUAGAGAAUUUUAAGAAGGACAUUAAUAACUCACCCCCCCCCAAAAAAAAACUCCC
rnacentral:lncRNA from 1 species